AACGAACGCUGGCGGCAUGCCUAACACAUGCAAUUCGAACGAAGCCUUCGGGCUUAGUGGCGUACGGGUGCGUAACGCGUGGGAAUCUGCCAUUGGGUUCGGAAUAACAGUUAGAAAUGACUGCUAAUACCGGAUGAUGUUGUCGGACCAAAGAUUUAUCGCCCAAGGAUGAGCCAGCGCAGGAUUAGGUAGUUUGUGAGGUAAUGGCCCGCCACGUCGACGACCCUUAGCUGGUCUGUGAGGAUGAUCAGCCACACUGGGCACGAGACACGGCCAAGACUCCUACGGGAGGCAGCAGUGGGGAAUAGUGGACAAUGGGCGAAAGCCUGAUCCAGCAAUGCCGCGUGAGUGAUGAGGCCUUAGGGUUGUAAAGCUCUUUUACCAGGGAUGAUAAUGACAGUACCUGAAGAAUAAGCUCCGGCUAACUCCGUGCCAGCAGCCGCGGUAA
rnacentral:rRNA from 1 species